CGGAUACUCCCUCCGUCUAAUAAAAGAUGUCUGAACUUUGACUAAAUUUGAAUGCAUCUAUUCGUUAAGUCAUGUCUACAUAUAUUCAAAUUUUGACAAACUUAAGACAACUUUUAUUGGACGGAGGGAGUACGCU
rfam:Brachypodium distachyon strain Bd21 chromosome 2, whole genome shotgun sequence.